ACGAACGCUGGCGGCGUGCUUAACACAUGCAAGUCGAACGGUGAUCCUGGGAGCUUGCUCCUGGGUGAGCAGUGGCGAACGGGUGAGUAACACGUGAGUAACCUGCCCCUGACUCUGGAAUAAGCGCUGGAAACGGCGUCUAAUACCGGAUAUGAGACUCCACCGCAUGGUGAGUGUCUGGAAAGUUUUUCGGUCUGGGAUGGACUCGCGGCCUAUCAGCUUGUUGGUGAGGUAAUGGCUCACCAAGGCGAUGACGGGUAGCCG
rnacentral:rRNA from 1 species